rnacentral:misc_RNA from 1 species
CAUUUGAACGGUACACGACAUUCAACGUAAAAAUGCAAAUGCACGUUAAAGAUAGGCCACGUUAAAGACGCUCGAUGAAAGAGGAAACUAAACGGAUAGCGAAAUUUUGAAGCGGCCGGUAGCACUUGAAAAACUCGAAGACCGAUAGCCAGGUCGUAUAUCAUGCCGAUAGCACGGCAAAGGAUGCAGAGAAACGAGCCUGGCUCGAACUUGUUGAGCAAAUAAAACGCGAAAAUGUAGUAAGCCGAGGAGAAAUCAGCAAUAGAGAUUUUUCCUAGAAGUAAUUUAUCAUCAGAAAGGAUUCUCAACUCAACGGAGGAUAUCUUGCUCGGUUUAGGUUUCCCCCUCCUUGAAACUCCUGCCUUAUCGGAAUUACAAUUAUCAAAGUUAGCCGAUGAACUUUUAAUUAGAAUCCGAAUAAAGUCUGAAAGGUCGUGACAAAUUGAACGACCGAGCGAGUCGGAAUGAUCGACGAAAAAGCAGCGACCGAAAAGACUUUGGAAGAAAGGAAAAAAGUGUCGCAGACUGAUAAAGCUUGAAAAGUAGAAACUCUUGUUUCCUGAAGGCGGCAAAAGGAUCGCGACUACGCUACGCGAUACGACGCGACGGGAAGCGCACUUAGAAAAUCAACAAGCGUCUGGAAUACGAGGAAACGAAUGGAAUACGAAG